rnacentral:rRNA from 1 species
CUACGGGUGGCUGCAGUGGGGAAUAUUGGGCAAUGGGCGCAAGCCUGACCCAGCAACGCCGCGUGAGGGAAGAAGGUUUUCGGAUUGUAAACCUCUGUCCUUGGGGACGAAGAAGUGACGGUACCCAAGGAGGAAGCUCCGGCUAACUACGUGCCAGCAGCCGCGGUAAUACGUAGGGAGCAAGCGUUGUCCGGAAUUACUGGGCGUAAAGGGUGCGUAGGCGGCAUAUUAAGUCAGGUGUGAAAUACUCGGGCUCAACCCGAGGGGUGCAUUUGAAACUGAUAAGCUUGGAGUGUGAGAGAGGAAAGUGGAAUUCCUAGUGUAGCGGUGGAACGCGUAGAUAUUAGGAGGAACACCAGUGGCGAAGGCGACUUUCUGGCUCAUAACUGACGCUGAGGCACGAAAGCGUGGGGAGCAAACAGGAUUAGAUACCCCCGUAGUC